rnacentral:sRNA from 1 species
UAUCUCUCCGUACGGGGAAGGAUGAGAAGCUUCGACUAAGGUUCGAUUCGAGCGCAGCGAGAAAGCGUUGCCGCAGGCAACGACCCGAAGGGUGAGGAGCGGAGCGACGAAUAAUCCU